rnacentral:rRNA from 1 species
CUGAAGCAACAAAUGCCCUGCUUCCAGGAAAAGCCUCUAAGCAUCAGGUAACAUCAAAUCGUACCCCAAACCGACACAGGUGGUCAGGUAGAGAAUACCAAGGCGCUUGAGAGAACUCGGGUGAAGGAACUAGGCAAAAUGGUGCCGUAACUUCGGGAGAAGGCACGCUGAUAUGUAGGUGAAGCGACUUGCUCGUGGAGCUGAAAUCAGUCGAAGAUACCAGCUGGCUGCAACUGUUUAUUAAAAACACAGCACUGUGCAAACACGAAAGUGGACGUAUACGGUGUGACGCCUGCCCGGUGCCGGAAGGUUAAUUGAUGGGGUCAGCGCAAGCGAAGCUCUUGAUCGAAGCCCCGGUAAACGGCGGCCGUAACUAUAACGGUCCUAAGGUAGCGAAAUUCCUUGUCGGGUAAGUUCCGACCUGCACGAAUGGCGUAAUGAUGGCCAGGCUGUCUCCACCCGAGACUCAGUGAAAUUGAACUCGCUGUGAAGAUGCAGUGUACCCGCGGCAAGACGGAAAGACCCCGUGAACCUUUACUAUAGCUUGACACUGAACAUUGAGCCUUGAUGUGUAGGAUAGGUGGGAGGCUUUGAAGUGUGGACGCCAGUCUGCAUGGAGCCGACCUUGAAAUACCACCCUUUAAUGUUUGAUGUUCUAACGUUGACCCGUGAUCCGGGUUGCGGACAGUGUCUGGUGGGUAGUUUGACUGGGGCGGUCUCCUCCUAAAGAGUAACGGAGGAGCACGAAGGUUGGCUAAUCCUGGUCGGACAUCAGGAGGUUAGUGCAAUGGCAUAAGCCAGCUUGACUGCGAGCGUGACGGCGCGAGCAGGUGCGAAAGCAGGUCAUAGUGAUCCGGUGGUUCUGAAUGGAAGGGCCAUCGCUCAACGGAUAAAAGGUACUCCGGGGAUAACAGGCUGAUACCGCCCAAGAGUUCAUAUCGACGGCGGUGUUUGGCACCUCGAUGUCGGCUCAUCACAUCCUGGGGCUGAAGUAGGUCCCAAGGGUAUGGCUGUUCGCCAUUUAAAGUGGUACGCGAGCUGGGUUUAGAACGUCGUGAGACAGUUCGGUCCCUAUCUGCCGUGGGCGCUGGAGAACUGAGGGGGGCUGCUCCUAGUACGAGAGGACCGGAGUGGACGCAUCACUGGUGUUCGGGUUGUCAUGCCAAUGGCACUGCCCGGUAGCUAAAUGCGGAAGAGAUAAGUGCUGAAAGCAUCUAAGCACGAAACUUGCCCCGAGAUGAGUUCUCCCUGACUCCUUGAGAGUCCUGAAGGAACGUUGAAGACGACGACGUUGAUAGGCCGGGUGUGUAAGCGCAGCGAUGCGUUGAGCUAACCGGUACUAAUGAACCGUGAGG